UUAGUUGCCUGUCUGCACUAGCCAUAUUGUUGUUUUGCAUAGUUUGUUCAGUGUUCUUUCUUCAUUAAAAUAAGUAUGUACGCUUACAACGCUGCGCCUUGGUCUCCUCCAUAUGACGACCGCUUCAUCAACAAAUAUAUGCUUAUGAUGGGUCACAGCAGCAUCAAACACCAUCACCCUCUAAAAAUAUAUUUUGACAGCCAUAAGUCAUUCCUGGCACACACCAUUUCCACCACUGCCCACUCCUGCUGGUCGGUCAGCACACUGCCACGGCCACCACCACGGGGUCUUCUGUCAAUUCUGAGGAUUGGGGUGAAUUACUCUGCCAGCCUCUGCCGCAGUAAGGCCUCUGUUUACCACAUGGUCAAUGACCACGGCAUGGACUUCAUUACACAACAGUUCGCUGCCAUCUGCCUCCUUCUCUGAUGUCCACCUCCUUGACGGGGUCCAUGCCCACCUCUUUGAUGGGCCGGUUGUCCACAAACUCUUUGAUUUCUUCCUCUCCCUUGCUGUCUAUCCUGCUCCAUGUUGAAAGAAAAUGCAAGUUUUCAUACACCCUUUUAUAUGGUGACCAAUUGUGGUUACCACUAUUGGAAAUCAAAUAGCAAUAACGAGUUGUCAUUAUGUGUGGUUAUCAUGUAUCAUACAUGUUAUUUAGAUGUUUAGACUUUACAAACACACAUUUUAUUUCUGUAGUUCUCCAAAUCCAUAUAAACCAGUUUAAAAUCUAAAGGUUUACCAAACAGUUAAUGUAUUUAAAUAAAUGAAAAGUAUUGUGAGCAUUGCAUUGUGAAAGGAAAUUACUUUAUAUGAAAGGUAUUUCUAGAUGAAACACUGAUUAGGUUUGGUGAAACAUUUACUCUGUGAUUUUGUGUGUUGUACUUAGUCAAUUGAAAAUGUGCUUAAAGUAAAUCAAAAACAGCCUUUUUGAUCUGUUUUGAGUUUCGUACUAAGAGUUGUGAAAUUUUACCACACAAUUGUGAACAUCGUACAAAAGUGAUUAUUUUUUUUUUCAAAAGGUAAAGAUAGAAAGCUUAACUCUAACAAUAUUACAAUAAGGACAAUCGUAUACCAUUUUGUUUUAAUUCCCCUACCUCCCUCCCCAACUUAGUUUAAGAUAUUUACACAUGUCAACAGCGCCACCCCCUGGGCACCAGGGUUUCAUGGGGCAGCAGACAGCCUACUGGUUAAGAAUGUUGGGCCAGUAACCGAAAAGUUGCUGGUUUGAAUCCCUGAGCCGAUAAGGUGAAAAAUCUGUUGAUGAGCCCUUGAGCAAGGUACUAAAUUCUAAUUGCUCCUGUAAGUCACACCCCACAUUUUGUCAACUUAUUCUUUAAAGUUGGAAUAGUAGAAUGCACAAGGUGCAAUUUUGAAAUUGGGUAGUGGUAGUUCAUCAGUUUUCCUCUUGUCAUGUAAGUCAUUGCAUACCGUAGAGAAAUAUUUCCAACUUGUCAUAAAUGUCCAGAUCAACUACCCUAUGUCAGCUAACAUUUGUUAGCCCAUAGAUUUUGUUGUAAUAUUUGAGUCACUCAAAUAUCACAUGAAUACACAUUAGACGCGGGAUGUUCCCUAGUGAUGGAAGUGGAACCUGCGUGAAAAGGUUUGAGAACCCCUGUGCUAAAUGACUAAAAUGUAAAUGCAUCUGCUAUUAGACUGUUAACCAGAGGAGGGCAGUCACAAGCCUCACAAUAGACUGUCAGGGCUAAGGAGGUGAGGGGGACUCAAAGGGAGAUUAUCAUUUGAGCAAAGGACCGUCCUCUCUCCUCCAUGACCCGAAAACUGAAAAGUAGUCGAGGGGUCAAGGAGAGUGUCAAUUCGUUAGUAGGAAAACGGAAGAGUGUCCUCCCCUCCUCGAUAGCCACCUUUCAUCAAGGAUAGUCAUGUGUAUCCUACCAUCACGGAAGAGUUUUGAGAUCCGCUACACUCCCCUUUGAAUCAGCUGUUAUCCUUUUAUCUAUUAAAUGUCUUGCACAGUAGUUACAUUUGUUUUUAUAGCUUCAUUUAUUUUGGGAUCCAACCCUGUAAACGUAAUUUUCCUGAUGACGCAUGAGUGGAGGAGAGGCUCAUUACAUACAAGCGCAUUUGUUUCCACAUUUCCUCUCCUCGCCUCCUCUCCUCGAUUACCUUUAACAUUUUAUCAAAAAGAGGCAAGGGGAGUACAGAGCACGUAGGGGUUAGCAAAGCUA